GAGUUGUAUAAGUUGAUAGCUCACUGAAAUGAGUUGUAUAAGGUUGAGCUCACUGAAAUGAGUUGCAUCCUGUUGUAGCUCACUGAAAUGAGUUGCAUCCUGUUGUAGCUCACUGAAAUGAGUUGUAUCCUGUUGUAGCUCACUGAAAUGAGUUGUAUCCUUUUGUAGCUCACUGAAAUGAGUUGUUAAAGGUUGUAGCUCACUGAAAAUGAGUUGUAUAAGGUUGUAGCUCACUGAA